AUCUCGUUCAAACCAAGUUUCGGUGGAAGUGUGCAUGGUAAUGUACAUCAUAUAUUUUUUUCAGUUUUAUCAUUCUCUUAUUUUAGAAGUUACAGGGAGGGGGGACACACAUUUUACCACUUUGGAAGUGUCUCUCGCGCAAACUAUUCAGUUUAGAAAAAAAUAAUAUUAGGAACUUCAAUAUCAUUUUUGAAGACCUACCUAUAGAUACCCCACACGUAUGGGUUUGACGAAAAAAAUUUUUUUGAGUUUCAGUUCUAAGUAUGGGGAGCCCCCAAAAUUUAUUGUUUUUUUUAUAUUUUUGUGUGAAAAUCUUAAUGCGGUUCACAGAAUACAUCUACUUACCAAGUUUCAACAGUAUAGUUCUUAUAGUUUCAGAGAAAAGUGGCUGUGACAUACGGCCGGACGGACAGACAGACAGACAGACAGACAGACAUGACGAAUCUAUAAGGGGUUCCGUUUUUGCCAUUUGGCUACGGAACCCUAAAAAGGGGGCCGCUACGUACUGUAUUUUGUAUUUAAGUACCUUUUGAAUACAUUAUAAUAGUUUUUACGUUGCUGGAUUCGUCAAUCUAUGCGUCCAAAGUUAAAACGGCCGUUUUCGUUGUGAGUUCAUAGAUCGACGAAUCCAGCAACAUAAAAACUAGUUUGAUGUAUUCAAAAGGUACUUAAAUACAAAAUACAGUACGAAGCGGCCCACUUUCUAAUAGAGCUAUCGUUAAAUUUAAAUAAUCACAAUUAUUUAGCAGUGGCGCUAGUGACCACGUUAAUCGGCUUCUUAAAUGAAGUGUUUGUCGUCCAUAAGAGGAACUAGUGAAUUUAUAAAGCUUUGUCACUCAAAUAACUUCUUUUUAAAAUUUAUUUUUUGGCAUAAGCCACUUAGUAUUGACCAUUCCAUUUGACUAAUGUUACUAGUGCUAGGUAUAUACUUUUAUUGUUGCUAUUGCCAUCUAGCAACUCUAGUAUGUAUAUACUUAUGGAAUAUGUUUUUUGCUGUUAUUUCUAGUGAUGUGAUGUGAGGGAACAAUUUCGUACUUAAGAAUUAGGAAGCUAAGAAAUGUUAUAAAUGUUAUAAUAAUGAAACAAAUGGCUAAAUGGAAUGUAUUUAUUUGACAACAGCAAUUGGAUCCAUUAUAUUUUUAUAUGUAUUUGUCUACCCACUUAUUUGAGAAAUUGUUUCAACUUAUAUUACGGGGGCUGGUAAUACCUACUCUUUAUUUAUGGUGCAUUUGAUGAGAUUCGUUAUGAUCAAAUACUUAUAUUUUUUUUAUUUAUUAUCGUGUAUAUCAUACAAUGUAUAUUUUGUUAUAAUAUGAGUAUUAUUUCAAUAUCCGCCCAAAUACAAAUUAUUGCUUUAUUAUUCAACCUUUUUCACAUGAUUUCCAAGUCAUUAAAAAUUCUUUCUAUAAGUACUUAAUUUCUACAAAUACAAGAAACCACUUCUGUGGCACCUAUAGUUAUAUUUUUAAAUACAACAGCAUUUAAUUCAGAGCAUUAUUAAGUAUAAAAUAAAUUACCGUGAUCGACUAGUAAACUUAAACUAGGUAAAUUGGGAAAUUGUAAAUAUGUAUAAUAAUAUUUUUUCAUUAAAUAUAUUGCACCUUACUAA